rnacentral:rRNA from 1 species
UACGUAGGGGGCUAGCGUUGUCCGGAAUCAUUGGGCGUAAAGAGCGUGUAGGCGGCUCGGUAAGUCCGCUGUGAAAGUCCAGGGCUCAACCCUGGAAUGCCGGUGGAAACUGUCGGGCUAGAGUCCGGAAGAGGCGAGUGGAAUUCCUGGUGUAGCGGUGAAAUGCGCAGAUAUCAAGAGGAACACCAAUGGCGAAGGCAGCUCGCUGGGACGGUACUGACGCUGAGGCGCGAAAGCGUGGGGAGCGAACAGG